AACGCACAUUGCGCCCCUUGGUAUUCCGGGGGGCAUGCCUGUUCGAGCGUCAUUUCACUCCUCAAGCUUUGCUUGGUUUUGAGCUUUGCCGCUAGCGGCUGGCUUUAAAUUUAUAGGCGGUGCUAUUGAGCUCUACGCGUAGUAACGAAUUAUAGCGAUUGAGUUAUCAGUAAACGCUGGCCUUAUACUUGAAUUUUAUUAUUGUUGACCUCGGAUCAGGUAGGGAUACCCGCUGAACUUAA
rnacentral:misc_RNA from 1 species